UGGUGGAGUGAUUUGUCUGGUUAAUUCCGUUAACGAACGAGACCCCUGCCUGCUAAAUAGCCCAGCGAGUGAUUUUUCACUGGCUGUUGGCUUCUUAGAGGGACGUGCAUUCUACUAGAUGCAGGAAGAUAGGGGCAAUAACA
rnacentral:rRNA from 1 species